CUGAUGAUAAUUUUGAUCUAAUAAAGUUUGAAAAUCACAAGUAUUAUUUGAUUCUUGGGCAGAUCCAACAAUGGAAACCUGAAAGACCCAUCUGAAAGCUCUAGGCUAAGAGCUUCUAAGAGAUUUCAUAAUUGUUUUCAAAGAAAAUUCUAUAUAUUUGACUUGUUAAUAUAUUUUUGUGUCAAAAGGAAAGGAGACAAAAAGUGUAUAUGUGGAGCUCUUUACAAGUUUCUCUCUUCUCAUUUGUAUCAUAAUUGAAUGAGAAUUUUUGUUUCAAACUUUUUCAGCAAUAAAAUUUUUGGGACAAUCAUUGUUUGGUGUAUAUUUAUGUACAUUUCAUUCUUUAUUCUUAUUCAUUGGAGAUUUCAUGAUGAAUUUUGAGAAAUAAAACAAAUUGAGAUUUUUU
rnacentral:lncRNA from 1 species